GACGAACGCUGGCGGCGUGCUUAACACAUGCAAGUCGAACGGAAAGGCCCUGCUUUUUUGGGGUGCUCGAGAGGCGAACGGGUGAGUAACACGUGAGUAACCUGCCCUUGACUUUGGGAUAACUUCAGGAAACUGGGGCUAAUACCGGAUAGGAGUUCCUGCUGCAUGGUGGGGGUUGGAAAGUUUCGGCGGUUGGGGAUGGACCCGCGGCUUAUCAGCUUGUUGGGGUGGUGGUGGGUUACCAAGGCUUUGACGGGUAGCAGGCCUGGAAGGAGGACAGGCCACAUUGGAACUGAGAUACGGCACAGACUCCAACGGGAGGCAGCAGUGGGGAAUAGAGCACAAUGGGAGGAAGCCUAAUCCAGCAAAGCCGCGUGGGGGAAAAGGGCCUUCGGGUUGUAAAGUGAUUUCGUUUGAGAGGAAGCGUGAGUGACGGUAAUGGGUAAAGAAGCACCGGCUAACUACGUG
rnacentral:rRNA from 1 species